rnacentral:rRNA from 1 species
UACGUAGGGGGCAAGCGUUGUCCGGAAUUAUUGGGCGUAAAGAGCGUGUAGGCGGCCACCGCAAGUCGACUGUGAAAUCUCCGGGCUUAACCCGGAAAGGUCAGCCGAUACUGCGGGGCUAGAGUGCAGAAGGGGCAACUGGAAUUCUCGGUGUAGCGGUGAAAUGCGUAGAUAUCGAGAGGAACACCUGCGGCGAAGGCGGGUUGCUGGGCUGACACUGACGCUGAUGCGCGAAAGCUAGGGGAGCGAACGGG